rnacentral:rRNA from 1 species
AGUCGAGCGAGCUUGCCUAGAUGAAUUUGGUGCUUGCACCAGAUGAAACUAGAUACAAGCGAGCGGCGGACGGGUGAGUAACACGUGGGUAACCUGCCCAAGAGACUGGGAUAACACCUGGAAACAGAUGCUAAUACCGGAUAACAACACUAGACGCAUGUCUAGAGUUUAAAAGAUGGUUCUGCUAUCACUCUUGGAUGGACCUGCGGUGCAUUAGCUAGUUGGUAAGGUAACGGCUUACCAAGGCAAUGAUGCAUAGCCGAGUUGAGAGACUGAUCGGCCACAUUGGGACUGAGACACGGCCCAAACUCCUACGGGAGGCAGCAGUAGGGAAUCUUCCACAAUGGACGCAAGUCUGAUGGAGCAACGCCGCGUGAGUGAAGAAGGGUUUCGGCUCGUAAAGCUCUGUUGGUAGUGAAGAAAGAUAGAGGUAGUAACUGGCCUUUAUUUGACGGUAAUUACUUAGAAAGUCACGGCUAACUACGUGCCAGCAGCCGCGGUAAUACGUAGGUGGCAAGCGUUGUCCGGAUUUAUUGGGCGUAAAGCGAGUGCAGGCGGUUCAAUAAGUCUGAUGUGAAAGCCUUCGGCUCAACCGGAGAAUUGCAUCAGAAACUGUUGAACUUGAGUGCAGAAGAGGAGAGUGGAAC